AGGCGUCACAAGAGGAGCUUUUGCUGAGAAUGACCUCCAGUUUUAAGUAAAUUCCAUAACAUUGGAGUUUUGCGCAAAGUCUGGGUGUCUAAACUCUUUGAACCUGAACAAGGUAAUGCUUGCGUAAGGGAUGUGCAGAAAUAAGUGG
rnacentral:ncRNA from 11 species